AACGAACGCUGGCGGCAUGCCUAACACAUGCAAGUCGAACGAGACCUUCGGGUCUAGUGGCGCACGGGUGCGUAACGCGUGGGAACCUGCCCUUAGGUUCGGAAUAACUCCCCGAAAGGGGUGCUAAUACCGGAUAAUGUCUUCGGACCAAAGAUUUAUCGCCUUUGGAUGGGCCCGCGUUGGAUUAGCUAGUUGGUAGGGUAAAAGCCUACCAAGGCGACGAUCCAUAGCUGGUCUGAGAGGAUGAUCAGCCACACUGGGACUGAGACACGGCCCAGACCCAUGCGGGAGGGCGGAGUGGGGAAUAUUGGACGGUGGGCGAAAGCGUGACACAGAAGUGCCGCGUGAGAGAUGAAGGCCUUAGGUUUGUAGCGCUCUUACCCGGGAUGAUAAUGACAGUACCGGGAGAAUAAGCUCCGGCUAACUCCGUG
rnacentral:rRNA from 1 species